GAUGAACGCUGGCGGCGUGCUUAAUACAUGCAAGUCGAACGGAGACUGUAGCAAUACUGUCUUAGUGGCGAACGGGUGAGUAACGCGUUGGUGACCUGCCCCGAAGAGGGGGAUAACAGUCCGAAAGGAUUGCUAAUACCCCAUGUGGUCGUUUGGAUUAGAUGCCUUACGACUAAACGGAUUUAUUCGCUUCGGGAGGGGCCUGCGUCCCAUCAGCUAGUUGGUAGGGUAAUAGCCUACCAAGGCGAUGACGGGUAGGGGACCUGAGAGGGUGGCCCCCCACAAUGGAACUGAAACACGGUCCAUACACCUACGGGUGGCAGCAGUAGGGAAUAUUGGUAAUCUGGGAAACCGGGAACCAGCAACGCCGCGUGCGCGAUGAAGGCCUUCGGGUUGUAAAGCGCUUUUUAAAGGGAUGAGGGAGGACAGUACCUUUAGAAUAAGCCUCGGCUAACUACGUG
rnacentral:rRNA from 1 species